UACGGAGGGAGCUAGCGUUGUUCGGAAUCACUGGGCGUAAAGCGUACGUAGGCGGUUAUUCAAGUCAGAGGUGAAAGCCUGGUGCUCAACAUCAGAACUGCCUUUGAAACUAGAUAGCUAGAAUCACGGAGAGGUAAGUGGAAUUCCGAGUGUAGAGGUGAAAUGCGUAGAUAUUCGGAAGAACACCAGUGGCGAAGGCGGCUUACUGGACGUGUAUUGACGCUGAGGUACGAAAGCGUGGGGAGCAAACAGG
rnacentral:rRNA from 1 species